CUUUCCAUGCGUCCCGGUGAUGGCCUUAACUGCAACUGCCACUCAGCCAGUUCAUGAGGAUAUCCUAAAAGCUCUCAAGAUCCCCCAUGCUCUUGUUCUCAAGACUCUGACAGACCAAACCUAAAAUAUGAGGUCAUAUCUAAGACCAAGGAACCACUGAAGCAGCUUGAAGAGCUACUAAAGAAUCGUUUUGCUAAUUUGUGUCGCAUAGUGUAUUGCCUCUCAAAGAGUGAAUGCGUUGAUGUUGCAAAUUACUUGAAUGAUAAGUGCGGUAUAAAGACGGUGUACUAUCAUGUUGUAUUAGCAGCCCGUCAAAGAGUAGCUGUCCAAAAGAAAUGGCAUGCUGGAGAGGUCCAGGUUGUAUGUGCAGUCAUUGCUUUUGGAAUGGGAAUAGACAAACCUGAUGUUCGUUUUGUCAUCCACAACACAAUGUCCAAGUCAAUCGAAAGCUGUUACCAAGAAUGAGGGAGGGCAGGAAGAGAUAAUCUACCAGCAGUGCGCAUUGCUCUAUAUGCAAAAAAGGACUUCAGUCGGGUUGUGGGCAUGUUAAGGAGUGGUCAAGGAUGUAAAACUGAAAUCUUUAGAAGUGCACUGGCUCAAGCUAGGAAAAUCAGCGAUAUUGUGAUCUCAAGGUAAUCCAAUUUGUGUUCUCGACUUCUCUCUGAAGAUCUCAACUAAGUGAUGCUUCUAUUUUGUGUUUACACUUUCCACUUUGUUCUAUUGAUUGUUCUUAGUGUUAGUCUGGCAUUACCCCGUCUGGAUGCUGGAUCAUUAGAUGGAUCUGUUGGCAACAUAUUCACAAAGUAAUGGACCCUUUGGGCUAAAAUCAUAUUCCGCUCACCUAAAUGGAGCAAAGUCUAUUGAUAAACGGGUGUUUCUUCUCCAAUUUGUGAAUUUUCAGGAUAAGUGUCAGUGGCAAACCUUACUUGUGCACUUUGGCAUGUUUGUGAAUCAGGAAGACUGUAAAUAUGGUUCUAA